GGUAAAAUGGCUGAGUAAAGCAAUAGACUGUAAAUCUAUGAACAGAGGUUAAUUCCUCUUUUUACCA
rnacentral:tRNA from 1 species